ensembl:snoRNA U3 Small nucleolar RNA U3
AAGACACUACUUUCGGGAUCAUUUUCUAUAGUAUGUGACUAGGGAGGUGGAGCUGAAAGUGUAGCACAGGUAACCGGGAGGCUGGGCGUUCCCUUCUGAGCGUGAAGCCAGCUUGUGGUGCUGCUUCUCAGCAGCUGUCACUUGCCAUUGAUGAUCGUUCUUCCCUCCCUUCAGGUUGGGUGAGAGGAAGGGAACACAGGCUGAGUGGC